rnacentral:rRNA from 1 species
UACAGAGGGUGCGAGCGUUGUCCGGAAUCACUGGGCGUAAAGGGCGCGUAGGCGGUCUGUUGCGUCCGCUGUGAAAACUCGGGGCUUAACCCCGAGCCUGCAGUGGAUACGGGCAGACUAGAGGUAGGUAGGGGAGAAUGGAAUUCCCGGUGUAGCGGUGAAAUGCGCAGAUAUCGGGAGGAACACCGGUGGCGAAGGCGGUUCUCUGGGCCUUACCUGACGCUCAUGCACGAAAGCGUGGGGAGCAAACAGG